UACGGAGGGUGCAAGCGUUGUUCGGAUUUAUUGGGCGUAAAGCGCGUGUAGGCGGUUUCUUAAGUCUGAUGUGAAAGCCCUGGGCUCAACCCAGGAAGUGCAUUGGAUACUGGGAGACUUGAAUACGGGAGAGGGUAGUGGAAUUCCUAGUGUAGGAGUGAAAUCCGUAGAUAUUAGGAGGAACACCGGUGGCGAAGGCGGCUACCUGGACCGAUAUUGACGCUGAGACGCGAAAGCGUGGAGAGCAAACAGG
rnacentral:rRNA from 1 species